rfam:Amphimedon queenslandica AMPQTscaffold_13366_Cont4053, whole genome shotgun sequence.
CAACCGGCUUUUUUCAAAGCCAUUCCAAUUAUACUGGAAGGAAGAG